GGGCCCGCACAAGCGGUGGAGCAUGUGGUUUAAUUCGAUGCAACGCGAAGAACCUUACCAGCUCUUGACAUGCUAGGUUUCGGGUUUGAGAGAUCAGACCUUUCAGUUCGGCUGGGCCUAGUACAGGUGCUGCAUGGCUGUCGUCAGCUCGUGUCGUGAGAUGUUGGUUAAGUCCCGCAACGAGCGCAACCCUCGUCCUUAGUUGCCAGCAGUUCGGCUGGGCACUCUAAGGAAACUGCCGGUGACAAGCCGGAGGAAGGUGGGGAUGACGUCAAGUCCUCAUGGCCCUUAUGAGCUGGGCUACACACGUGCUACAAUGGCAGUGACAAUGGGACGCGAAGGGUGACCCGGAGCC
rnacentral:rRNA from 1 species